GCCAGAUAUAGUGGUGCAUGCCUGUAACCCUAGCAACUUGGGAGGCUGAAGCAGGAGGAUUACAAGUUUGAGGUCUGCCUCAGCACAUUAGCGAGGCCCUAAGCAAUUUAGUGAGACCCUGUCUCAA
rnacentral:sRNA from 1 species